AACGGCCGCGGUAUCCUAACCGUGCAAAGGUAGCAUAAUCACUUGCCCAUUAAUUGUGGGCUAGAAUGAAAGGACCAACGAAAUAAAGACUGUCUCUAUAAGUUAAGUAAAAAUUAAUCUCUAACUGAAGAUUGUUAGAUACAAUUGAAGGACAAGAAGACCCUAUAGAGCUUUAUUUUAAUUAAAUAAAUAAAAUUUUAUAAAAUUUGGUUGGGGCGACCAGGGAAAUCAAAUAUCAUCCCUUAUACAUAGAUUACUAAAUCAUACAUUUUGACCCUUAAUAAAGAUCACCAAAUCAAGCUACCUUAGGGAUAACAGGCUAAUUACACUAAAGAGUCCUUAUCAAUAGUGUGGUUUGGCACCUCGAUGUUGGCUUAGG
rnacentral:rRNA from 1 species